rnacentral:misc_RNA from 1 species
GCAAGAGCCUUUGAAAGAAAAUAGUAGCCGGAAGAAAAUUGGACAAAUUUAUGGUCCAAUACAAGAACAGUACCUACUUUAUCAAUUCUACCUAUAACCAAAGCUAUUGCAAACCAGGCCAUUAACACAUUACAGAAUUCUGGUUUGGGAAGUGUUUCGCCUUCCUUUAUUAAAAGAUUGAGCCAUCCAGAGAUGGCUGGGUGAAGAGCAAAGAAGUUUUGCUAUAAUCAGUGUUAUUAAAGGCGCCAAAAGGCGUUGGGCGAGGCGCCAGGCGAGGUGAGGUAGGGCAGUGCCUCGCCUGGGAUGAGAGAGGCGAGCGGCUCUCUCGCUACAGCGAGGAGGCGCCAAGCGCCAGGCAAGAAAGGCGUCGCCUCUCUCAUAUUACCUCUUUUUUUAUUUAUUUAUUUUAUUUUUAUGUUUAUCAUUUAUUAUCCUAGCUAUAUCGGUAAAUGCUGCUAAAUGAUUGAUACUUUACAGGAGGACACAAUUAAUAUCUUCUCAUUUUCUGCUCUAUUUGCGCAUCUCUCUGUUUGUUCCUGUGCUUUUGGUUUGGAUUUUCCUUGUGCUGUAUAUUUCUCUCUCUUUCUUUCUCUUGCUAGCAAUGGUUAUACAAUAUCAGCUAUGGUGGUUGUUUAGUGAUGCAAGAAACCCUGAUACUAUUCCCAAGCAUGCUUUAAGCAAAGAUUAUAUAUUAUAUGUAUGUGUUAUGAAAUACGAAUAAUAGCCAUCAUGUUGAGUUUUUCAUAAUUUCAUUGAUCAAAUGAUGGAACAGUACGUGGAAGAGAAUGAAAGGCUCAGAGCUAUUUUAGGGGAAUGGAGCACAAGAACAGCGAAGGUACUCAUUUCUUUUUAAUUCCUUUCACCAUCUGUUAACGGUUAUUUAUCCUGUUCGAGGAUUACCUUGGCAUGAUUGACUUCAGUCAUCUUCCAAUGAACUGUUUUAUUCUAACAUAACCUCAUAAAUUGAUGCAACUUGAUGUGUUAAAGCUUGAGCGAGCAUUGGAGGUUGAGCGUCUGUCAAAUCUUGAACUGCAAAGGAAGCUGUCAACUGGAAGAAUUCAAUGAAAUGGAUCACCUGAACAAAGCUAGCAGCACACAGCUUAGUUGCCCUGAAACUUUCCCAUAUUGUCAUUUCUCGGGAUUUUUUAGUUCCAUGAGGACAAGAAGGAUCAAAGUGCCACUUUUACUGGAGUAGAUGGUCGAAUGUAUAUAACAUAACCUUAAGGAAACUAGUUGAGGAAGCAGUUGCAUAAUGAUUGCAUAUCUUGCUUGAUGCAUUUCUCUUAUUCUAAGUGAAAUUAUUAGAACAAUUAGGGUGAGCAUUAAUCAGUUUUAAUUGAAAAAUCAAACUGAAUCAAUUAAAUUGAUUUGUUGGUUA